UAGAGAAGCGAAAGCGGAUCGACCCUUCGGGGAGCUUGUACAGGUGCUGCAUGGCUGUCGUCAGCUCGUGUCGUGAGAUGUUCGGUUAAGUCCGCUAACGAGCGCAACCCUCGCUGUGUGUUACAAGUGUCACACGGAACUGCCGGUCAUAAACCGGAGGAAGGUGGGGAUGACGUCAAGUCAGCAUGGCCUUUAUAUCCUGGGCUACACACACGCUACAAUGGGAAGGGACAAUAGGUUGCGAAGCCGCGAGGUGGAGCCAAUCCAGCAAAACUUCCCUCAGUUCAGAUUGCAGGCUGCAACUCGCCUGCAUGAAGUUGGAGUUGCUAGUAAACGCAGGUCAGCCAUACUGCGUUGAAUACGUUCCCGGGGCUU
rnacentral:rRNA from 1 species